rnacentral:rRNA from 1 species
GACGAACGCUGGCGGCGUGCCUAAUACAUGCAAGUCGAGCGGACUUUCAAGAAGCUUGCUUUUUGAAAGUUAGCGGCGGACGGGUGAGUAACACGUGGGCAACCUGCCUGCAAGACGGGGAUAACUCCGGGAGACCGGGGCUAAUACCGGAUAAUAUCUUCCUUCGCAUGAAGGAAGGUUGAAAGGCGGCGCAAGCUGCCGCUUGCAGAUGGGCCCGCGGCGCAUUAGCUAGUUGGUGAGGUAACGGCUCACCAAGGCGACGAUGCGUAGCCGACCUGAGAGGGUGAUCGGCCACACUGGGACUGAGACACGGCCCAGACUCCUACGGGAGGCAGCAGUAGGGAAUCUUCCGCAAUGGACGAAAGUCUGACGGAGCAACGCCGCGUGAGCGAAGAGGUCUUCGGAUCGUAAAGCUCUGUUGUCAGGGAAGAACAAGUACCGUUCGAACAGGGCGGUACCUUGACGGUACCUGACCAGAAAGCCACGGCUAACUACGUG